CAUUAUCGAAUUGUCAACACGAGUUGUUGCUGGCCUUCAAACGGGGGCAUGUGCACGCUCUGUUUGCAUCCACUCACACCUGUGCACCCUCUGUAGUUCUACGGUCUGGGAGACCCUGUCUUCCUUCUGUGGUUCUGCGUCUUUACACACACACUGUAACAUGGUCUUAUGGAAUGUACGCAGCGUUUAACGCAAUACAAUACAACUUUCAGCAACGGAUCUCUUGGCUCUCGCAUCGAUGAAGAACGCAGCGAAAUGCGAUAAGUAAUGUGAAUUGCAGAAUUCAGUGAAUCAUCGAAUCUUUGAACGCACCUUGCGCCCUUUGGCUAUUCCGAAGGGCAUGCCUGUUUGAGUAUCGUGAACACCUCAACUCUCAUGGUUUGCCAUGAAGAGCUUGGACUUUGGAGGUUUUGCUGGCCCCGCGGUCUGCUCCUCUCAAACGAAUUAGCUUACCAGUGUAUGGUGGCGCCACAGGUGUGAUAACUAUCUGCGCUUGUGGUCGCACGCCAGACAACCUUCAGCACUGGAGGUUUGCUGGGGCUCAUAAAAGUCUUUCCUCGGUAAAGACAGCUUCUGAACGUUUGAUCUCAAAUCAGGUAGGACUACCCGCUGAACUUAAGCAUAUCAAUAAGCGG
rnacentral:rRNA from 1 species